rnacentral:rRNA from 1 species
UGGAUCCAGACUUUGAUCCUGGCUCAGGAUGAACGCUGGCGGCGUGCCUAAUACAUGCAAAUCGAACGAAACUUCUUUAUCACCGAGUGCUUGCACUCACCGAUAAAGAGUUGAGUGGCGAACGGGUGAGUAACACGUGGGCAACCUGCCCAAAAGAGGGGGAUAACACUUGGAAACAGGUGCUAAUACCGCAUAACCAUAGUUACCGCAUGGUAACUAUGUAAAAGGUGGCUAUGCUACCGCUUUUGGAUGGGCCCGCGGCGCAUUAGCUGGUUGGUGGGGUAAAGGCUUACCAAGGCAAUGAUGCGUAGCCGAACUGAGAGGUUGAUCGGCCACAUUGGGACUGAGACACGGCCCAAACUCCUACGGGAGGCAGCAGUAGGGAAUCUUCCACAAUGGGCGAAAGCCUGAUGGAGCAACGCCGCGUGGGUGAAGAAGGUCUUCGGAUCGUAAAACCCUGUUGUUAGAGAAGAAAGUGCGUGAGAGUAACUGUUCACGUUUCGACGGUAUCUAACCAGAAAGCCACGGCUAACUACGUGCCAGCAGCCGCGGUAAUACGUAGGUGGCAAGCGUUAUCCGGAUUUAUUGGGCGUAAAGGGAACGCAGGCGGUCUUUUAAGUCUGAUGUGAAAGCCUUCGGCUUAACCGGAGUAGUGCAUUGGAAACUGGGAGACUUGAGUGCAGAAGAGGAGAGUGGAACUCCAUGUGUAGCGGUGAAAUGCGUAGAUAUAUGGAAGAACACCAGUGGCGAAAGCGGCUCUCUGGUCUGUAACUGACGCUGAGGUUCGAAAGCGUGGGUAGCAAACAGGAUUAGAUACCCUGGUAGUCCACGCCGUAAACGAUGAAUGCUAAGUGUUGGAGGGUUUCCGCCCUUCAGUGCUGCAGCUAACGCAAUAAGCAUUCCGCCUGGGGAGUACGACCGCAAGGUUGCAACUCAAAGGAAUUGACGGA